rnacentral:rRNA from 1 species
GGUGAACGCUGGCGGCGUGCUUAAGACAUGCAAGUCGAACGCAGUCUUCGGACUGAGUGGCGCACGGGUGAGUAACACGUAACUGGCCUACCCCCAAGUCGCGGAUAACUGGCCGAAAGGUCAGCUAAUACGCGAUGUGAUUUCCCCUUCCUGGUGGGCCAUUAAAGGUUUACUGCUUGGGGAUGGGGUUGCGUUCCAUCAGCUAGGUGGCGGGGUAAAGGCCCACCAAGGCAACGACGGAUAGCCGGCCUGAGAGGGUGGCCGGCCACAGGGCCACGGAGACGCGGGUCGCACUCAUACGGGAGGCAGCAGUUAGGCAUCUUCCACAAUGGGAGAAAGCCUGAUGGAGCGAGGCCGCGUGAGGGAUGAAGGUUCUCGGAUCGUAACCUCUGAAUCAGGGACGAAAGACGCGUAAGCGGGAUGACGGUACCUGAAUAAUAGCACCGGCUAACUCCGUGCCAGCCGCCGCCGUAA